GAUGAACGCUAGCGGCAGGCUUAACACAUGCAAGUCGAGGGGUAACAUAGAUUGCUUGCAAUCUGAUGACGACCGGCGCACGGGUGCGUAACGCGUAUACAAUUUGCCUUAUACAGGGGGAUAGCCUUUAGAAAUGAAGAUUAAUACCCCAUAGUAUUAUAGAGUGGCAUCGCUUUAUAAUUAAAGAUUUAUUGGUAUAAGAUGAGUAUGCGUCCUAUUAGCUAGAUGGUAAGGUAACGGCUUACCAUGGCUACGAUAGGUAGGGGUCCUGAGAGGGAGAUCCCCCACACUGGUACUGAGACACGGACCAGACUCCUACGGGAGGCAGCAGUGAGGAAUAUUGGACAAUGGGCGAGAGCCUGAUCCAGCCAUGCCGCGUGCAGGAAGACUGCCCUAUGGGUUGUAAACUGCUUUUAUACAGGAAGAAACCCCUGAACGUGUUCGGGGCUGACGGUACUGUACGAAUAAGCACCGGCUAACUCCG
rnacentral:rRNA from 1 species